AAAACAAGUCUGAUAAAACACGAUAUCCCUCUCUCACCCUCGAGAACUCAAAACUCUAGAACUCAUCUUCACCAAUUGUAGAAGUCAUCCUCACCGCCAUGGAAUUUCAAAGUCCCCCACCGUAACCCUCAUCGAAAUCAAAAAAUCGCAUCUUCACCCUCACUUUCAUUGAACCAUAUUCUAUUUUUCUCCCAAAUCGAAAGUUCUCCCCAAAUUGAAGGUUUUUCUAUUACAACGUCGAUUAACAAAACCCUCUUAAUCUCUGCGAAAUCCUUAUCUAUUAGAACCAUCACCUACUUUGUGAAAUCCUCGUCACAAGUCUACCUCUGCGAGAGUCGAUACACAUAAUACUCCUAAUCUCAACUACUCCAACAUCACAAUUCCGAGAAUCACUGGUGUUGAUACUUUCUUGAAUCGGCUGCCAGAAAUGAGAUGUUUUCUUUGAAACCUGCUCCAAUUCAAGUUUCUUAUAUGAUAUUUUAUUACACAAAUGGAGAUACUAUAUAGAUUACUUAGAGAUCUUUGUCAGGAAGUUGCAGCUUGAUGUGUUGCAUCUUUUUCUGCUAAAAAUCUUGUCUUAGAUUAUCAAAAGAAAAUGGAGUUCAGUGAAAUACAAGAAGAGAGUAAAGUGAAAUAAGGUAUUAUUGCGUAUUUAAAGCAUGAACAAUAACGUAUAGAAGACACGGCUUCAAACGCGCUAUUUUGAGCAACGGAACCAACUCGUCAACGAAUAAGGCUUAAAAUCAAAGAAUAGUAAAUCAUCGAUUUGGUUGAUAUUUUGUCAUUGUUAGAUAGGAAAUUGAAUAAGCUUUCCAACGCUUCAAAUUGGGCGCAAAUCGGAGUUACGGUUGUCAAGUUAUGACCAAAACACUAAAGCUGAUUUUUUCAAGACAGCAGUCAGCGCGCGUAGCACCCUCCUGCGCGCGACGCGCGCUACACCAGAUCCAAAAUUGCAUAAAUAGGGGAAAAACACAUUUUUUUUAGGUUAUGUUUUGGGUAUUCUUGAACCCCAACUCAUCAACCUUCAAUUUUUGGUAGAUUUGGCUUAGAAUUAACAUUUGGACCUUGCAAAUGGAUGAUCGGAGGUCGAAUUUCUCAUUGAUUGGUGUUGUCGAACCAAGAAAUGUUUGGUUCUUCUCCUCCUCUUCUCUUUGUAUUUCUCUUUUGUUGAGUUUGUUUGUAAGUUUACUCUAAAUCUAUGUAUGUUUGUUACUCUUUCUACUAGUUGUAUAAAGUUU